rnacentral:lncRNA from 1 species
GCUGAUUCUUCUUAAAAUGCAUUGCCACGUUAUCUCUAACGUUGGCUUUCUGACUUCCCCGCGGGGCUCGGAGGAAGUAACCCAGUUUCUUAAGGAAAAAUGAGAGAUAAACAUCACAACAGAAUUCUAAUGACACUGCAACAAAAUCAGGCCAAAAUGAACGAAAGAAAGAAAAGAAAACAGAAGAGAAGGAAAGGAAAAGAAAGAAAAGCCUUUGGUGCUUGCUCACUACAAAAUGAACAAAUUGCAAGUGGAAAGGAAAAUGUUUCCUUUUUUGAGUCCCUUCAUACCUAGUGGAAUUUGGAAAACUUAGGAAUCCUUCAAUAACAAACACUUUGCCAAGUGCAAGGACUUGGAAUUUCUUCUCUACUGAAUCU